rnacentral:lncRNA from 1 species
GCGUGCUCCUUGUCGGGCAGAGGCUCAAGCCGGGCGUUCCUAUUGGCUAGCUGGGAGGAGGUGGAGAGCCCUGAACCCGCCAGCUUGUGCCUGUGAGAUAAGCAGCGCCCGCCGGGAAAUGUAGUCCUCUGGCUGAGGAGCGCUGUCACUCUGAGGCGUGAGACAGAGCCUCGCUAUUUGCUCUUGUUGUCCUGGAACUUACAAUGCAGACAAGGCUGGCCUUAAACCCACAGAGAUUUGCCUGCCUCUGCCUCCUGAAUGCUUGGAUUAAAGGUAUCUUGACUGCCGGGUCCUCCUGCAAGGAGAAUGAGAUGGAACUUGAGGGAGAACGGCCAAGAGUCUGAACUCCAGGAGAUCGAGAUGUAGGACUCUCAGCUCCUUCUCCAGCAUCAUGUCUGCCUGCACACCUCUAAACCUCUGAAACUGUGGAGAGAGUGUAGUUUCAAGUUUCCUGCUCAUGGGAAAGAAAGAAGAAUGCCCGAAGUCAAGCUAAGGCUGCCACCAGGAGCCAGAGCCCACACCUUCAUUUAGUGCUGACAUAAAACUUGACUGAGACAUUCACUAGUCAAAUACCCAUAAUGUAAAUGCUCCCAGUGGCAAGUAAUGCAUUUCCCUGAAUUUAAGCAUGAACAGAACUUCCUGUUCUCCAUUCAUCACUGAGUCACCCUGUAUUCCCAGGCCUUCCUGUAAUAAAAUAGCCAGCAUAUUGCAUUUGCCGGGAAUUUGCAAAGCACUGUCCAUACAUUAUAUGAUUUUUUUAAGUUUGGGAAAAAAGAAUAUGAUCAAAAUAUAUUUAUAUUUAAAUUUUCUUUUCAAUAAUAAAAAUAUAAGAAAAAAGAAAAAUGUUUUUAUAGUUGAUAUGG